rnacentral:siRNA from 1 species
UCUCAAGUGUAUUUUAAGUGCG